rnacentral:misc_RNA from 1 species
AUACACCACGCAGGGUUAGAGGACGG